rnacentral:sRNA from 1 species
GUGGCGGCUACUGAAGAUUCAAACCAGGCUCCAGUUGACCCAAUCUUUACGGAAGCUCCAGCAGAAGGAUCGCAGGAGGAACAAACUUCAGAUGGUCCAGUGUUUAUUCCUGAAGAUGGAUCAGUUCAUUCCACGGAAGCUCCAUUUGAGG